GCUUCAUUAGGACAGUGUCAGCUUCCCUCUGCAUCUAUUACUGACAUUUCCAGGACCCACUGUCCUGCCUUCUGCCUCUCUUCUCCCAGGAAAAGAUCUUAAGAGGCUGUGAUGGCUGCUUUAUUGGCGGCUUAGGCUAUUUGAUGUUGCUGAUGAUGGAGCUGGAGGCUGGGCUGGACGAUGGUCCGAGGACAGCGACCACCCCCUUGGGGAGGAUCUGACACACUGCAGCCAGCGGCAGGGACAGGGAAAGAAGCAAAGCACUCAUCAGAUACAAAAUCAACAGAGAGAAAUUAAAGAGCAGAGUCAAGAUUCAACAGCUCCACCCAUUUCCCCAAAGACCGGCCCCUUAACCACUGCACCGCACAGCCAUCCCCAGCAAAUGGCAAUUAACUGGGAUGUUUGUAGAUUGCCUUGGCCACUGGAACACUGAGUUAUUGUCUUCCCUUUUUUCAUUUCACUACUUUCUAUAAUGAGCAUGUAUUCCUUUUUAUAACAUAUUAUAAAGAAUACAAUGCUAUAAUAAAAACAUUCUUCUGAUGAGCAA
rnacentral:lncRNA from 1 species